CCUACGGGUGGCUGCAGUGGGGAAUAGGGGACAAUGGGGGCAACCCUGAUCCAGCCAUGCCGCGUGUGUGAAGAAGGCCCUCGGGUUGUAAAGCACUUUCAGUGAGGAAGAACGCCUGGUGGUUAAUACCCAUCAGGAAAGACAUCACUCACAGAAGAAGCACCGGCUAACUCCGUGCCAGCAGCCGCGGUAAUACGGAGGGUGCGAGCGUUAAUCGGAAUUACUGGGCGUAAAGCGCGCGUAGGUGGCUUGAUAAGACGGUUGUGAAAGCCCCGGGCUCAACCUGGGAACGGCAUCCGGAACUGUCAAGCUAGAGUGCAGGAGAGGAAGGUAGAAUUCCCGGUGUAGCGGUGAAAUGCGUAGAGAUCGGGAGGAAUACCAGUGGCGAAGGCGGCCUUCUGGACUGACACUGACACUGAGGUGCGAAAGCGUGGGUAGCAAACAGGAUUAGAUACCCUAGUAGUC
rnacentral:rRNA from 1 species